rnacentral:lncRNA from 1 species
GACAGCAUUCAAUCCAAGAAAAGCUCCACUGUACACAUGUUCUAACAUAUGAGUGAUCCAAAAGAGAGAGCUUCACAUACAAUAUCCUAUGCCUACUUUCUCAGCUCAGAGAGAGAGGCUCAGUCAUUCAUAAACUGGAGCAACAUUCAUGUACUGCGGACCACUUUGAAAGACUUAUCUGUCUCCUGUUUACAGAUGUGUACAGCAAGCUGCAAAGCACUGCCUGUCCUUUUACUCACAAUCAAUUGCAGAGAACAUGAAGUACAGAAGACAACAGCUUUUUUUUUCUUUUGGAAAAUCCCUUAAGUCCUUUCCGUGCUGUGCUAUCAUUGUUCAGGUGCUAAAGUGAAAUAAAUGUGUCGUCUAAUCACUAAGGUGUCAUGAACUCAAAAAUUU